UAGCCAUGGUGGGGGCAUUGAAUGAGCAAUAUUUUGAACCUUUCCCAUGCCUCAUGGAACGGUUUGCCUUCAGCUUGCGAGAAAUUCGCAAUUUUUCUCCAUAAUUCA
rnacentral:snoRNA from 1 species